rnacentral:tRNA from 1 species
GCCCGCGAGGUGAGACACGCCAAAGUGCAAAUUUGGAGACGCACCCCUAAAGGUGCCGGGGCUUCUCCCGUUUUUAGGCGAACGGGAGAAGA